GGGAAGAUGGCAUAGCCCGUUAUUGCGGGAGGUUCCAAACCUCCAGGUCGUGGGUUCGAAUCCCACUCUUCCCA
rnacentral:tRNA from 1 species